rnacentral:rRNA from 1 species
GACGAACGCUGGCGGCGUGCUUAACACAUGCAAGUCGAACGGAAAGGCCCUGCUUUUGUGGGGUGCUCGAGUGGCGAACGGGUGAGUAACACGUGAGUAACCUGCCCUUGACUUUGGGAUAACUUCAGGAAACUGGGGCUAAUACCGGAUAGGAGCUCCUGCUGCAUGGUGGGGGUUGGAAAGUUUCGGAGGUUGGGGAUGGACUCGCGGCUUAUCCGCUUGUUGGUGGGGUAGUGGCUUACCAAGGCUUUGACGGGUAGCCGGCCUGAGAGGGUGAACGGCGACAUUGGGACUGAGAGACGGCCCAGACUCCUACGGGAGGCAGCAGGGGGGAAUAUGGCACAAUGGGCGGAAGCCUGAUGCAGCAACGCCGCGUGCGGGAUGAAGGCCUUCGGGUUGUAAACCGCUUUCGCAUGUGACGAAGCGUGAGUGACGGUAAUGGGUAAAGAAGCACCGGCUAACUACGUG